AGAGUUUGAUCAUGGCUCAGAUUGAACGCUGGCGGCAUGCCUAACACAUGCAAGUCGAACGGCAGCGGGUUGAACAAUCCCUUCGGGGUGCGAUCAAUGCCGGCGAGUGGCGGACGGGUGAGUAACGCGUAGGAAUUUACCCUAAAGUGGAGGACAACUCGGGGAAACUCGAGCUAAUACUGCAUAAGCUCUACGGAGUAAAGCUGGGGACCUUCGGGCCUGGCGCUUUAGGAUAAGCCUGCGUUGGAUUAGCUUGUUGGUGGGGUAAAGGCCUACCAAGGCGACGAUCCAUAGCUGGUUUGAGAGAAUGAUCAGCCACACUGGGACUGAGACACGGCCCAGACUCCUACGGGAGGCAGCAGUGGGGAAUAUUGCACAAUGGGCGCAAGCCUGAUGCAGCGACGCCGCGUGGGGGAUGACGGCCUUCGGGUUGUAAACUCCUUUCGCUAGGGACGAAGCUUUUUGUGACGGUACCUAGAUAAGAAGCACCGGCUAACUACGUGCCAGCAGCCGCGGUAAUACGUAAGGGGCAAGCGUUAUUCGGAUUCACUGGGCGUAAAGGGUGUGUAGGCGGAUUAAGAAGUUAGAUAUGAAAUUUUUAGGCUUAACCUGAAAAAGUUAUCUAAAACCAUUAUUCUAGAGUUUAGAAUGGGAAGACGGAAUUCCUAGUGUAAGGGUGGAAUCUAUAGAUAUUAGGAAGAACACCGAUGGCGAAGGCAGUCUUCUGGUCUAACACUGACGCUGAGGCACGAAAGCUAGGGGAGCAAACAGGAUUAGAUACCCUGGUAGUCCUAGCUGUAAACGUUGUAUACUAGGCGCUUGGAAUAUAUCUGAGUGCCCAAACUAACGCGAUAAGUAUACCGCCUGGGGAGUACGCUCGCAAGAGUAAAACUCAAAGGAAUUGACGGGGACCCGCACAAGCGGUGGAGCAUGUGGUUUAAUUCGAUGAUACGCGAAAAACCUUACUAGGGCUUGACAUGUAUUCAAAAUUUAUAGAAAUAUAAAUGGUCUCGUAAGAGAAUGGAUACACAGGUGCUGCAUGGCUGUCGGCAGCUCGUGUUGUGAAAUGUUGGGUUAAGUCCCGCAACGAGCGCAACCCUUAUCUUCUGUUGCUAACAGGUUAAGCUGAGUACUCUGAAGAAACUGCCAGUGAUAAACUGGAGGAAGGCGAGGAUGACGUCAAGUCAUCAUGGCCCUUAUGUCCUAGGCUACACACGUGCUACAAUGGAUGGUACAAAGAGAAGCGAAACGGCGACGCGGAGCAAAUCUCAUAAAGCCAUUCUCAGUUUGGAUUGAAGUCUGAAACUCGACUUCAUGAAAGUGGAAUCGCU
rnacentral:rRNA from 1 species